rnacentral:rRNA from 1 species
UACGUAGGGGGCAAGCGUUGUCCGGAUUUAUUGGGCGUAAAGAGCGUGUAGGCGGUCUGGUAGGUCCGCUGUGAAAACUCGAGGCUCAACCUCGAGACGCCGAUGGAAACCAUCUGACUAGAGUCCGGAAGAGGAGAGUGGAAUUCCCGGUGUAGCGGUGAAAUGCGCAGAUAUCGGGAAGAACACCCGUGGCGAAGGCGACUUACUGGACACAUAUUGACGCUGAGGUGCGAAAGCGUGGGGAGCAAGCAGG